UUAUUGGCAGCCCAUUAGUGCUAAGGACAGGCACUUUGCAGUGUGACAUCAGCCCACAGCUUGACCCAAAUCCAGCAUCUCACCAGCGAGCUGCACUCUCCUGCUUUCCAAACAAAACAAAAAGUCAAAACCAAAACAAGCAGCAAACAACACGAUAAAAGUAAACUGAAUGAGAUUCUCAGCAAACGCCAUCAUUUUAAAGAAACAAUUUCAGACAGGCUCCCAGCAGUAGAGGAGGAUAGGACAUUCCGAUCGCUGGAGAUCAAACUGGCCCAGGCGACCCGCAUUAGAGCAGAGACCCCUUUGCCUGGCCUGGAGAGGGUACAGCCCAAAGAACGAGGCUAACACCAAGUGAUGAACUAACUGCUUCAUAGUGUAGCGAAGGGCUAUCCAAACCAUUCCUUUCUGCAGACCUGGCAGGACCCGGAAGCUGGUCGUAAGCAAGAGCAAGAACGUGAAUUUAUUGGCGUAAGUCUCAUUUUAAAAGGUCAACACAAGUAAGAGGCACAUGACACUCUCUGUUUUCACAGUUUCCGUUCCGAGAGCAGGACCACACUCUCUGGGCUCUCAAUUUUACACACACAUGUAAUAUCAACAGAGCCUGCAGCAACAUCUUUUUUUUUUUCUUUCUUUCUUUCUUUUUUUUUUUUUUCUGCAUCUUCAUGGUAGAAAACAU
ensembl:lincRNA Gm29418 predicted gene 29418